UGUCCGAUGGUGUAACGGUAGCACAGAGGUCUUUGGAGCCUUUAGUUCAGGUUCGAAUCCUGGUCGGACAGCCA
rnacentral:tRNA from 1 species